UAAACGUAGAGAGAGUGAGAGAGAGAGAGAGAGAAGGGAGAGAGAGAGAGCCAAAAGCAACCACAGCUAGAACCAAGGAUGCCACGUUGGAUCCAUCAUGCACAAAUUCCUGGGAGUCAGGGCAGCUUCAACCAGCUCAGUGAUGCCUCGCUGUAC